UUUUAGGCCAGAAUACCAUCUACGACCUUCCAUCAAGUGUGGAAAAGUUUGGAGUCCACAUCAAACACUCGAACCUCGCAAUUCGCACAGGUCCAGUGUGUUACAGCCAAUUUUGCCCUUAACUUAAGGGCAAAUAAGAAAUGUUGAUGACGGUAGAGGAGUAUAUUUGAAAAGAUCAAAAAUCAAAAUAAUUUUUGUAUCCCUGACUUUAAGGGCAAAUAAGAAAGUCGGUGAUGGUGAAAGGGUAUAUUUGAAAGAGCAAAAUAGUAAUUUUACAAAGAUAAGAAAGUUAAUUAACAGAUUUAACUCUAUGGGUAUAUUAGAAAUAGGUUGGAACGUAAAAAGUGUAUUUUCAAUAUUAGCCUUCUAAGAGGAGUAAAUCGGAAAGUUGGAAACCUUUCAGAGAUAUAUAAGCAAUUGCCCCAAAAUUUUAUGGGGAUAAUUUUCAUGCUAUAUGAUCUCAUCCACCAUCUAUUUAUUCCGUGAUCAAUGCUAGUCUACAUGAUAGAUAGUAGAUAAGUCCAUAA
rnacentral:lncRNA from 1 species